rnacentral:tRNA from 1 species
CGGAGUGUAGCGCAGUUGGUAGCGCGCCUGCUUUGGGAGCAGGAUGUCGGGAGUUCGAGUCUCCCCACUCCGACC